UACGUAGGGGGCAAGCGUUGUCCGGAUUUAUUGGGCGUAAAGAGCGUGUAGGCGGCCAGGCAGGUCCGUUGUGAAAACUCGAGGCUUAACCUCGGGCUGUCGGCGGAAACCAUCUGGCUAGAGUCCGGAAGAGGAGAAUGGAAUUCCCGGUGUAGCGGUGAAAUGCGCAGAUAUCGGGAAGAACACCCGUGGCGAAGGCGGUUCUCUGGGACGGUACUGACGCUGAGACGCGAAAGCGUGGGGAGCGAACAGG
rnacentral:rRNA from 1 species